rnacentral:lncRNA from 1 species
AUACUGCAUCCCUCAAGCGAGAGCUUGGUAAGGGUAGAGGGCAGCAGCAGUUUGGCCUCAUUUUGUCUGCUGUAAAUCAAUUCCAUCGUCCCCUCAUGCGCCUCCAACCAUCUCUCCCAGACAGCGGUUAUAUCCACGUUGGCGGCAGGUGCGCUCUUAUUAUGCUCUGCAGAGCUAGCUUCAUUACUUGAGUCAUUCGUUGCGGCUUUGGAAUUCAUCAUUGCUUUUUCAUUGUUGACUAAGGGCCGUUGAUAUAGGAAGAUAGACCAUGUCUCCAUCCUUUUAGUCAUGAUCAUUAGUCCUUUUUCAUUGUUGACUGAGGACUCCCGAUCUUGCUGCAGAAACCAUUUCGGCAUCCUUUUGCUCAUGACCUGCUUCAUGGAUGUCUUCUCUUCUUGGCUCAUCUGCAGGUCUUCAUUUGUUACGAGGGUGAGAAACGGCGUACGAAAUAUUGCAUUCCUCAAGCCGACCAAGUCGGUAAGGUGUGCAGGAAGUGAGCUAGCGUUUUCUACUCCCAACACCUGUAGCUGAUACAGAGUGGACACCGACUUCGGCAGCACGAACUUGCCAGUACUUGAAACUUGCAGGAUGCGAAGGUGCUUCAUUUCGCUUAUAAACUUUGAUGUCAGUUUUUCCAGAUUUAACCCCAAAGCCUGUAGCACGCGCAACUUUUUUAAGCUCUUGAAGAUGCUGGUCGCAACAUUUUUGUCUGAGACGACGCUUUGUCCUUUCGUGACGAUUAGGGUGCGAAGUUUCUUCAGUUUGCAAAUUUCCUCCUUCUUCUCAUUCAGUUUGUCAGCCGGUAUGCACAGAUGGCGAAUAGUCGACGGGAUCUCGCUUUGACAAUUACCUUCUAUUCUAACACAGUCACUGCGAGAAACUUUUUCUG